rnacentral:lncRNA from 1 species
AAGGUCCUGCAUGAGCAGUGGAUGCAAGAAAAUGCCUAGCAGGGGUCGCCAUCUCCGAAGAUCCCCCAAUCUCUAUUAUCUUGGUCAGAUCUUUCUUUGAAUUGUUGCCCACCUCUUCCAUUCGCACUUCCUUAAUUGGAUUUUUCUCAAAGCGUUCAUCGACGCUCGUCUCCGAUGACAUCUCCGUCGGUGCCCUCUCCAUCGGUGCCCCA